UACGGGGGGGGCAAGCGUUGUUCGGAAUUACUGGGCGUAAAGGGCUCGUAGGUGGCCAACUAAGUCAGACGUGAAAUCCCUCAGCUUAACUGGGGAACUGCGUCUGAUACUGGAUGGCUUGAGUUUGGGAGAGGGAUGCGGAAUUCCAGGUGUAGCGGUGAAAUGCGUAGAUAUCAGGAGGAACACCGGUGGCGAAGGCGGCUUCCUGGACCGACACUGACGCUGAGGCGCGAAAGCUAGGGGAGCAAACGGG
rnacentral:rRNA from 1 species